rnacentral:snRNA from 1 species
GGAUAUGAGGGCGAUCUGGCUGUGACACCUGUCACCCCAUUGAUCGCCAGGGUUGAUUCGGCUGAUGUGGCUGGCUAAGCGGGUGUCCCCUUCCUCCCUCACCACUCCAUGUGCGUCCCUCCCGAAGCUGGGCGCUCAGUCGAAGAGGACGACCAUCGCCGAUAGAGGAGGACCGUUCUUCGGUCAAGGGUAUACGAGUAGCUGCGCUCCCCUGCUAGAACCUCCAAACAAGCUCUCAAGAUUGGGUUAAAGGAAUCUUUGAAGAAGACAAUAUUGGACAAGCUUGAAGUACCUGUCAGCAUUAAAAUUUGGUGGCCCUGGCACAAUUAUACCACCCUUU